ACACAGCAAAAUCACCAGUGUUAAAUUUUCAGGGAUGGUGUUAAAUACACAGUGUUGAUGCUGUUUUAACACUAUCUGGUAAUAAAAUAACACUGCCAUUGCUAGGCCAGUGUUAUAUUCACGACAGUGUCAGUGUAAAACAAGGGUGUUAUCAGAUUUCACUCUGAGCGGUGUAAAUCAAGCCACGCCUCCACUAAACAUUUCCUGUCAGGGAUUUUACCGCCAUUUUCUUUCACCGGAGGACUGAAGAGAUCAGGUAAAUCAGUCUCAUAAUAUUCACAUGGUUUGGCUAAAUUAAACUGUUAUUUCUCUGUCUGACUCUACGCAGCCAUAUGCCAAAAAACCUAAAUAAGAUAUUUUUCCCAUUUUAUUUCCCCUUUGUUCGUUAUUUGGUUCAGUUUAAUCAGAGCUACCUUGUGUAACGUUGUUCCCUUGUUAGUUUAGUAUAAAGUUAAACUGCUAGCUAAAAGUUUAAAACCAAGAAGGAUAAUAUUAACAGGAGAUAUGAACGAAAGAAUUGAACCAUGAUAAAACGCGACAUGCACUACAAAUUGAAGGUAUGAAAUUAAGUUAAAUGAAAGCUCGUUUAUUCACCAUAUGAUGCUCGUUAUGAGGUAAUCAUAUAGGCUAGAUACCGUGAGUUAACGAGGUCGUUUACAUGCACGUGAGUGCACGGAUAUCGGUUAAUUAUUCAAAUUACUGAAAAACACGGAGAAAACAGCAACCGCAUUGUCAUAUGUUUUUCUAAGAUGUAUGCAAACAGGGGAAAUAUCGCCAAACCAACAAUUAAUUUUACCAAAACCUCACAAUAUAUCAUCAUUUGUAUGCACAGAUUGCUGGAUUGGAUGCAUUGUGUGUUGUAAGCUUUUCGUGGCACUAGAUGUCAGACAGAUGCAAAUGGCAAAUACAUACAAAAGUGUAAAACGUGUAAGGCUAACGUGAACGUUUGUUUUUUUUCUGUCAUUAUAGAUGCUAGUUUGGUGAAAGUUCACACUGAGUGCUUCAAAUCAUUCAGAAGAGAUGCUGUUUUUAGGGCAGUUUAUUAAAGAAGACUUGACAUGGAUGACUUCCAAUGAGAAACGACUGCUAAUACUUAUAUAAAUUCAUUACAGAAGGACCCUACCAGACUAUAUUUGAAUACGGCAUACUCAUGAAUUCUGGAACUGUUAUUCCUUAACCCAGUUCGGAGGAUAAGAGCUUACCAACUAGUUAUAAAUAUGCUGAGGUGAUGUAUUGCAAAAUAGCCAACAUACAACAAUAUGGAUGACCCUCUGUCUGGUCAACAGGAGUUUAAAUAUGGACGGGACAGUGAUGUGGCAGCUCUUCCCUGGCUCAUUCACCUCUUGCCUUCAUUUGUGAAAGGAAGAAAGACUGGAGAGGGUCAAUGUGCAACUGAAGCUACUGAUUGUGCUAUGUGAUGAGCAUCAAUCCAUGCUUUGAGGGGGAUGAAUCGGCACAGCCCUGCCUGCACUGCGUUGGGAACAGAAGUUGCAUCCAGAAUUUUUGCAUCAUUCUGGACCAAAAAGCCAUUCCCUCCAUGAUGAAGACCACUGAUGCAGCCUUCCACUACAUCAUGAGUAAAACAACUACAGAACUAAAUACCAGGUUGGAACGUAUUUAAGAAAAAUGAAACGUCUUUUGAAUUGAAAUGUCUGUUUUGUUAUGGAAAAAUCUUUAGUAUUGUGAAGGAUAAGCAUUUCUGCCUGCCAGUAAGGUAAUUGCAGUGUAUUUUAAUGUUCAAGUUUUGAGUAGGGUGGCUAAUUUUUUUUAAACUCUCAUUUGAUAUAUUAAAGACCUUAUAAUAAGUGGUUUUCAUGUCACUGCGCUGUGGUAUAAGAUAACUUUCAUUAUUCCAUACUGUAUUCUGUAUUCUAAUUGUAGCUGAGGUAUUUAAAUAAGCAUUGUUAAAUGCAAAGUGUUGUGUGUAUCAAUGUAAAUAUUAAAUGUGAUGUACUUUAAUAAAAAGAGGUUUUGCAAUA